GGGCGUUUAGCUCAGUUGGUUAGAGCACUUCCCUUACAAGGAAGGGGUCCGGGGUUCGAGUCCCUGAACGCCCACCA
rnacentral:tRNA from 1 species